rnacentral:tRNA from 1 species
AGGAUGGCUCAGUGGUUAAGAGCACUGGAUACUCUUCCAGAGGACCUGGGUUUGAUUCCUAGUCUU